ACUUGCUGGAGCAGCGCAGACGUUUGACCGUAUAAAUUCCAACGUAUUUUAGUUACCAAUUGGGAUCGACUCAGCACACAUAUAUUAGAGACAAACACCUACAGUACAGUACGUACGCAGGAGUGAGUGACAUUCCCGUGGCAUUUAGGUUCUAGAAGUAAGGAGCCUUCUCCCUCGGAGUGAGCUGUAUAGACGAGUGUUUUGGCAUAGGUAAGUCA